rnacentral:misc_RNA from 1 species
GUAGGUGAACCUGCGGAAGGAUCAUUACAAAAGAAAGUAAAAAGUAGAUUCGGCUUCCUUCCCAUGAAGAGGUUGCUCGAGAGAGGCUAUUACGCAAGAUUUUUUCGGAUGUCGUUCUUAACGGGUUGGCCCCCCCGAGGGGUUGUUACCGACAUUCUUCUGGAAUCGCGAAAUAGGCCGGGAGUGUGGCAUUAGUAUCCUGCCCUUACACGCACUCUUCUCUGGUCUCUCGCCCAUUCUUCUUUGCUGGUCCAUACCGGGGGGGGGGAGCCGGAUUGAAUUUACACUUUUUGAUAAACCCCACCGUGCAUUUAUUGAAAGAACCUUUACCCGAUCAAAUUGAUUGGGAAAAAAAAGGAAAAAGGGGAAAGACGCAGUUUUUCCCCUUUUGACUUUUUUUUAACCAUUUUGCCUGUAUAUAUUUUGACUGAACUUUUAUAAAAAUUUAAUACAACUUUCAACAACGGAUCUCUUGGCUCUC